UGGGGAAUUUUGCACAAUGGGGGAAACCCUGAUGCAGCGACGCCGCGUGAUUUAGAAGGCCUUCGGGUUGUAAAAAUCUUUUGUAUGGGAAGAAAAUGACAGUACCAUACGAAUAAGGACCGGCUAAUUACGUGCCAGCAGCCGCGGUAAUACGUAAGGUCCGAGCGUUGUCCGGAAUCAUUGGGCGUAAAGGGUACGUAGGCGGAUAAGCGAGUUAGAAGUGAAAUCCUAUAGCUCAACUAUAGUAAGCUUUUAAAACUGCUCAUCUUGAGGUAUGGAAGGGAAAGUGGAAUUCCUAGUGUAGCGGUGAAAUGCGCAGAUAUUAGGAGGAAUACCGGUGGCGAAGGCGACUUUCUGGCCAUAUACUGACGCUGAGGUACGAAAGCGUGGGUAGCAAACAGG
rnacentral:rRNA from 1 species